rnacentral:rRNA from 1 species
UUUGACAGAUUAGCGGCGGACGGGUGAGUAACACGUGGGUAACCUGCCUGUAAGACUGGGAUAACUCCGGGAAACCGGGGCUAAUACCGGAUAACUUCUUCCUCCGCAUGGAGGAAUAUUGAAAGAUGGCUUCGGCUAUCACUUACAGAUGGACCCGCGGCGCAUUAGCUAGUUGGUGAGGUAACGGCUCACCAAGGCRACGAUGCGUAGCCGACCUGAGAGGGUGAUCGGCCACACUGGGACUGAGACACGGCCCAGACUCCUACGGGAGGCAGCAGUAGGGAAUCUUCCGCAAUGGACGAAAGUCUGACGGAGCAACGCCGCGUGAGUGAUGAAGGUUUUCGGAUCGUAAAACUCUGUUGUUAGGGAAGAACAAGUACCGUUCGAAUAGGGCGGUACCUUGACGGUACCUAACCAGAAAGCCACGGCUAACUACGUGCCAGCAGCCGCGGUAAUACGUAGGUGGCAAGCGUUGUCCGGAAUUAUUGGGCGUAAAGCGCGCGCAGGCGGUUUCUUAAGUCUGAUGUGAAAGCCCACGGCUCAACCGUGGAGGGUCAUUGGAAACUGGGAGACUUGAGUGCAGAAGAGGAGAGUGGAAUUCCACGUGUAGCGGUGAAAUGCGUAGAGAUGUGGAGGAACACCAGUGGCGAAGGCGACUCUCUGGUCUGUAACUGACGCUGAGGCGCGAAAGCGUGGGGAGCGAACAGGAUUAGAUACCCUGGUAGUCCACGCCGUAAACGAUGAGUGCUAAGUGUUAGAGGGUUUCCGCCCUUUAGUGCUGCAGCUAACGCAUUAAGCACUCCGCCUGGGGGAGUACGGCCGCAAGGCUGAACUCAAAGGAAUUGACGGGGGGCCCGCACAGCGGUGGAGCAUGUGGUUUAAAUUCGAAAGCACGCGAAGACGUUACCAGGUCCUGACAUCUCUGACACCCUAGAGAUAGGGGCUUUCCCCUUCGGGGGACAGAAGUGACAGUGAUGCAUUGCUUGUCGUCAGCUCG